AGUUUGAUCCUGGCUCAGAUUGAACGCUGGCGGCAGGCCUAACACAUGCAAGUCGAGCGGUAAAGAAGCUUGCUUCUUUGAGAGCGGCGGACGGGUGAGUAAUGCCUAGGAAUCUGCCUGGUAGUGGGGGAUAACGUUCGGAAACGGACGCUAAUACCGCAUACGUCUACGGGAGAAAGCAGGGGACCUUCGGGCCUUGCGCUAUCAGAUGAGCCUAGGUCGGAUUAGCUAGUUGGUGAGGUAAUGGCUCACCAAGGCGACGAUCCGUAACUGGUCUGAGAGGAUGAUCAGUCACACUGGAACUGAGACACGGUCCAGACUCCUACGGGAGGCAGCAGUGGGGAAUAUUGGACAAUGGGCGAAAGCCUGAUCCAGCCAUGCCGCGUGUGUGAAGAAGGUCUUCGGAUUGUAAAGCACUUUAAGUUGGGAGGAAGGGUUGUAGAUUAAUACUCUGCAAUUUUGACGUUACCGACAGAAUAAGCACCGGCUAACUCUGUGCCAGCAGCCGCGGUAAUACAGAGGGUGCAAGCGUUAAUCGGAAUUACUGGGCGUAAAGCGCGCGUAGGUGGUUUGUUAAGUUGGAUGUGAAAUCCCCGGGCUCAACCUGGGAACUGCAUUCAAACGACUAGAGUAUGGUAGAGGGUGGUGGAAUUUCUGGAGCGGUAAAUGCGUAGAUAUAGGAAGGAACCCAAGGCGCCACGGA
rnacentral:rRNA from 1 species